AAUCAAGCGCGAGAAGGGCGUUUGGUGGAUGCCUUGGCAGUAAGAGGCGAUGAAAGACGUGAUACUCUGCGAUAAGCCAUGGGGAGCUGAGAAUAAGCUUUGAUCCAUGGAUUUCUGAAUGGGGCAACCCACCUGAUAUUCUGUUAUUGUUACCCGCAAGGGUGAUCAAUAAUGGGGUAAAACAGGUACUUAUAGACUGAAUACAUAGGUUUAUAAGAGCAAACCCGGGGAACUGAAACAUCUAAGUACCCGGAGGAAAGGAAAUCAAUUGAUACUCCCCUAGUAGCGGCGAGCGAACGGGGACCAGCCGAGCCUUGAGAGUGACCAGAAUGCGUUGGAAAACGCGACCAUAGUGGGUGACAGUCCCGUAUGGGUAGCUCGAUAGGACGUAUUAAGUAGGGCGGAACACGUGAAAUUCUGUCUGAAGAUCGGAGGACCACCUUCGAAGGCUAAGUACUCCUUACUGACCGAUAGCGAACCAGUACCGUGAGGGAAAGGUGAAAAGCACCCCGACGAGGGGAGUGAAACAGUACCUGAAACCGAACGCCUACAAUCAGUCGGAGCUUGACUGGACUCUAAUGACAAUCGUGAUUGUCUGUUGUAGCCGUUGAAUUAGGUUGUCAUUAGUGUCCAGUCUUGUGACGGCGUACCUUUUGUAUAAUGGGUCAUCGACUUGGUCUCACGAGCAAGCUUAAGCCGAUAGGUGUAGGCGUAGCGAAAGCGAGUCUUAAUAGGGCGAAUGAGUUCGUGGGAUCAGACCCGAAACCGAGUGAUCUAGGCAUGGCCAGGUUGAAGGUUAGGUAACACUAACUGGAGGACCGAACCCACAUCCGUUGAAAAGGAUCGGGAUGAGCUGUGCCUAGGGGUGAAAGGCCAAUCAAACUCGGAGAUAGCUGGUUCUCUGCGAAAUCUAUUUAGGUAGAGCGUCAUCCGAAUACCCCGGGGGGUAGAGCACUGGAUGGGUAAUGGGGCCUUACCGGCUUACUGAUCCUAACCAAACUCCGAAUACCCGGGAGUACUAGAUGGCAGACACACGGCGAAUGCUAACGUCCGUCGUGAAGAGGGAAACAACCCUGACCUACAGCUAAGGCCCCCAAUUCAUGGCUAAGUGGGAAAGCAGGUGGGACGACCAAAACAACCAGGAGGUUGGCUUAGAAGCAGCCAUCCUUUAAAGAUAGCGUAACAGCUCACUGGUCUAAAUAAGUUGUCCUGCGGCGAAGAUGUAACGGGGCUCAAGCCAUGAGCCGAAGCUUAGGAUGCCGUAAGGCAUGGUAGCAGAGCGUAGUGUGACAUAGUAUCUAUCCUCUUUAGCCUUCUUCGGAAGGUCAUGGAGGACAUGAUGCUUUCUGUGAAGCCGGCCUGUGAGGGAUCCGGUGGAGAGAUCACUAGUGAGAAUGAUGACAUGAGUAGCGACAAACAGGGUGAGAGACCCUGUCGCCGAAAGUCCAAGGGUUCCUGCUUAAAGCUAAUCUGAGCAGGGUAAGCCGACCCCUAAGGCGAGGCCGAAAGGCGUAGUCGAUGGGAACCAGGUUAAUAUUCCUGGGCCAGUAAGAAGUGACGGAUCUCGAAGGUAGUUCAUCCUUAUCGGAUUGAAUGGGCUGCUUAGAGGUUCCUGGAAAUAGCUCUUACAUAAGAUCGUACCCUAAACCGACACAGGUGGACUGGUAGAGAAUACCAAGGCGCUUGAGAGAACUAUGUUGAAGGAACUCGGCAAAAUACCUCCGUAAGUUCGCGAGAAGGAGGCCCGGUUUCUAGGCAACUAGAGGCUGGGGGCACAAACCAGGGGGUGGCGACUGUUUACUAAAAACACAGGGCUCUGCGAAGUCGCAAGACGACGUAUAGGGUCUGACGCCUGCCCGGUGCCGGAAGGUUAAAAGGAGAGGUGAGAGCUUUGAAUUGAAGCCCCGGUAAACGGCGGCCGUAACUAUAACGGUCCUAAGGUAGCGAAAUUCCUUGUCGGGUAAGUUCCGACCUGCACGAAUGGCGUAACGACUUCCCCGCUGUCUCCAACAUAGACUCAGCGAAAUUGAAUUGCCUGUCAAGAUGCAGGCUUCCCGCGGUUAGACGGAAAGACCCCGUGCACCUUUACUACAGCUUCACACUGGCAUCAGGCCAAGCAUGUGCAGGAUAGGUGGUAGACUUUGAAGCAGGGACGCUAGUCCUUGUGGAGUCAUCCUUGAGAUACCACCCUUGCUUUGCUUGAUGUCUAACCGCGGUCCGUUAUCCGGAUCCGGGACCCUGUGUGGCGGGUAGUUUGACUGGGGCGGUCGCCUCCUAAAGAGUAACGGAGGCGCGCGAAGGUUGGCUCAGACCGGUCGGAAAUCGGUCGUUGAGUGCAAUGGCAGAAGCCAGCCUGACUGCGAGACUGACAAGUCGAGCAGAGACGAAAGUCGGUCAUAGUGAUCCGGUGGUCCCAAGUGGGAGGGCCAUCGCUCAACGGAUAAAAGGUACGCCGGGGAUAACAGGCUGAUACUGCCCAAGAGUCCAUAUCGACGGCAGUGUUUGGCACCUCGAUGUCGGCUCAUCUCAUCCUGGGGCUGGAGCAGGUCCCAAGGGUACGGCUGUUCGCCGUUUAAAGAGGUACGUGAGCUGGGUUUAGAACGUCGUGAGACAGUUCGGUCCCUAUCUGCCGUGGGUGUAGGAUACUUGAGAGGAGUUGCCCCUAGUACGAGAGGACCGGGGUGAACGAUCCACUGGUGUACCAGUUGUUCCGCCAGGAGCAGUGCUGGGUAGCUAUGAUCGGACAGGAUAACCGCUGAAGGCAUCUAAGCGGGAAGCCCCCCUCAAAACAAGGUAUCCCUGAGGGCCGAGGUAGACCACCUCGUCGAUAGGCCGGAGAUGUAAGUGCAGUAAUGCAUUCAGUUGACCGGUACUAAUUGCCCGAUAGGCUUGAUUUG
rnacentral:rRNA from 2 species